rnacentral:rRNA from 1 species
AGCUCCAAUAGCGUAUAUUAAAGUUGUUGCAGUUAAAAGCUCGUAGUUGGAUUUCUGGUGGGAGCGAUCGGUCCGUCCCGCGAGGGAUGCGCACUGGUGUCGCCUCCGGCCAUCCUUGGGGAGAGCGACCCUGGCAUUAGGUUGUCGGGGCCGGGAUCCCCAUCGUUUACUGUGAAAAAUUAGAGUGUUUAAAGCAGGCUUAUGCCUUGAAUACAUUAGCAUGGAAUAAUAAGAUAGGACUUUGGCGGUCUAUUUUGUUGGUUUGCACGCCAAGGUAAUGAUUAAUAGGGAUAGUUGGGGGUAUUCAUAUUCAAUUGUCAGAGGUGAAAUUCUUGGAUUUAUGGAAGAUGAACUACUGCGAAAGCAUUUACCAAGGAUGUUUUCA